rnacentral:rRNA from 1 species
GGAUUGCCCCAGUAACGGCGAGUGAAGCGGCAACAGCUCAAAUUUGAAAUCUGGCUCCCCAGGGGCCCGAGUUGUAAUUUGCAGAGGAUGCUUUCGGCGCGGCGCCUUCCGAGUGCCCUGGAACGGGACGCCAAAGAGGGUGAGAGCCCCGUCUGGUCGGACGCCAAGCCGGUGUAAAGCUCCUUCGACGAGUCGAGUAGUUUGGGAAUGCUGCUCUAAAUGGGAGGUAUAUGUCUUCUAAAGCUAAAUACCGGCCAGAGACCGAUAGCGCACAAGUAGAGUGAUCGAAAGAUGAAAAGCACUUUGAAAAGAGGGUUAAACAGUACGUGAAAUUGUUGAAAGGGAAGCGCUUGUGACCAGACUUGCGCCCGGCGGAUCAUCCGGCGUUCUCGCCGGUGCACUUCGCCGGGCGCAGGCCAGCAUCAGCUCGCCGCGGGGGACAAAGGUAGCGGGAACGUGGCUCCCCCGGGAGUGUUAUAGCCCGCUGCGCAAUGCCCUGCGGCGGACUGAGGUUCGCGCUCCGCAAGGAUGCUGGCGUAA